rnacentral:sRNA from 1 species
GUAGCCUAUAGGGAAGGGCCUUGGAAGGAUCACCCAGAACUCAAGGGACCUGGCCAGAAGCCUGCAGGCUUGGUCAGGGCUUAGAGACUUGACUGAGGCCUGUGGAGGUGGAUGUGGCUAAAAUUUGACCGGGCAGCCUGUGGGCGUGGCUGAAGAGCAUGGGGGUGUGGUCAGAGCUGGAGGUGUGGCCGAAGAGUGUGGGGGCGUGGCCAGGGCGCCUGGGUCUUAGACAAGCCCCGGGAUGGGAGUGCCACCAACGUGUUUCCAGCACUGGAGCCGUCCUUCUCUUCUGUAGGUGGGCUGGUUUGUCCUCUCCCUUCCUCCAUCUCUUUUUUCCCUUCCAUGUGCAGUGCCCUAAUCUGCAUUCUGGGAACACUGCCCCAUGUGAAAAGUAACUGCACCCCUCCUUUCCUGACUGCCCCCCCAUCAGGGCACCUCGCCCACCUCCACCCCCACUGUCCUCUGAACUCAGAGCAGCUUCAGCCUCAGAGAACGUCUGCGUGAUCCUGCUCUCCCCAGCUCCAAAUCCUCCAUGGCUCCCUCACGCCCUUUGGAAAAACUCACUCUUCUCGCCCAUGACCGCCAGACCCCUGGGCUCCUGCAUUCGCUCCAUCCAGUCACAGCGCUCCGCAAACAUGCUGAGCCUGCUCCCAUCCCAGGACCUGACGGGGUAACUAGAUCCCUGGCUUUCUGGGCAAGCUCCCUCCGGAGGGCGCGAGGAGAGUGACACGCCCGAUCUUGCACCCCAGCUAUGUGGGCCGGAAGCGGAUGCAGGUGGAGCACCCCGAGAAGGCUGUGCCCCGCGUGAGGAACCUGGUGGAGGCCGACUACUCCUACUGGACCCUGGCCUAUGUGAUCUCCCUGCAAGGCGCCCGCAAACUGCUGGCUGCUGAGCCGCUCUCCAAGAUGCUGCCUGUGGACGAGUUCCUGCCCGUCAUGUUCGACAAACACCCAGUGUCCGAGUACAAGGCCCACUUCUCCCUCCGCAACCUGCAUGCCUUCUCCGUGGAGCCGCUGCUCAUCUACCCCACACACUACACAGGAGACGAUGGCUAUGUGAGUGACACCGAAACCUCAGUCGUAUGGAACAAUGAGCACGUCAAGACCGACUGGGACCGCGCCAAGUCCCAGAAGAUGCGGGAGCAGCAGGCACUGAGCCGUGAGGCCAAGAACUCGGACGUGCUCCAGUCCCCACUGGACAGUGCUGCCCGGGAUGAACUCUGAGGGGUAGCAGCCAGAAAGCCAAAGCAGCGAUCGGUGGCCCAGGCUCCACGUGCUUACUGAGGACAUCAGGGCCACCUCUGGACCCCUUGGCAGGCCACAGAGGGCUCUCGUGUGGGGUGGUGUCCAGCCAGCUCUUGCUAAGCAAUCACGUGCACACAGGCAGCAUUAAUGGAGUGCCUACCGCAUGCCAGCAACAGGGCUUGGCCCUGGGGAAUUGGGAGGAACCAAGCCCUCUUCAUCUGUUCAUGUGCCCAGCAUUUAUUAAGCACCUGCUGUAUGCAAGGUUCCCAUGUUACGGCAGUGAAUGAGGCAUAAUUGUUCCCUCCAUCAGCGAUUGAUUCAGUCAUCAAGCAGUUACUGAUCAGAUUAAGAAUCAGGCACUAGUGAUACACAUUCAUUUUUAAAAUUCAUUCAAGGAUUUAUUGAGUGCCUACUGUGUGUUGGGUGCCAUUCCAGGCUCUGGGAUUUUUUUUUUUUUAAGAGUAGGGUCUGUCUCUGUCACCCAGGCUGGAGUGCAGUGGUGUGAUGUUGGCUCACUGCAGCCUGCGCCUCCCAGCGUCCAGCAAUUCUUGUUUCUCGGCCUCCCAAGUAGCUGGGACUAUAGGUGCGUGCCAUCACAUCUGGCUAGUUUUUGUAUUUUUAGUAGAGACGGGGUUUCACCAUGUUGGCCAGACUGGUCUCGAAUUCCUGACCUCAAGUGAUCUGCCCGCCUUGGCCACCCAAAGUGCUGGGGUUACAGGCAUGAGCCACUGUGCCCAGCCCAGGCUCUGGGAAUAUUGAGAUAAAUAAGAUGCUUCUAUCCAUUUAUUCAAGCACAUAUUGGUCACCUACUGUGUGCCUGGCACUCGUGUCACAAAGAUAAGUUCCUGAUUCGGUACACUUACUGAGCACCUGCUGUGUGCAGGGAGCUGAGCUAUGGGAUGGGAAUGGGAGUAAGCAAGGUACUUUUCACUUUUUUCUUUUUUUCCUCACUGCUAGAUGGUGUGGGAACUUCUCACUCAUUGGCUUCUUUCCCACACACCUGAAGAGCACUGACUGUGUGCCGGGCACUAGUGAUACAAAAGAGUGUGACAGUUGUUCAGUCUGCAUUUUCGAUCAUGGGCUACAUGCCGAGUGCUGGGGCACAGAGAUGAACAAGAUCGGUUCCUUCACUUCUUCAUGCCACAAGCGUUUAUUGAGCACCUGUGUGCCAGGCCUCACAGACUCCCAGUUGUUGGGUUGAAGAAUGGUUGACUGAGUUUGAUUUUUCCUGUACCCCCCGUCGUCUGAGCUGUGUGCAGACAACAUCCCCCCACCACCCAAGAGGGAGGGUAGCUCUUCCGCCACCAGGGGCAACCACAGGUCCUGGUGGCCUCACGCCACAAGUCAGCCCCCCUGGAGGGGGCGCCAGUUGGAGACGGGGGCUGGGUGUCCCUGGCCCACCCCCGGUCCCCUGUGCUUUACCUCCCUGCCCUUGUGUCUCAGGUGUGGUCCCUGCCUGCUUGAUGAAGUUGCUCUGUUCAAGCCUUUGGUGGGAUCAUGUGUUUGGGGGCUUUUAGGGGACCCAGCUGCACUGGGGCACUGCCCGUGGCCUGGGUAGGACAUUUCCCAGCAAGGGCUGGAGUUGCCGUGCCUUCAGCCUGAAUCGAAUGUCAGAACCAGCCAGCGGUGCUUCACCCUCUUGGGGAUAACUUGCUUAUUUUUUAAAUAAAUGUUCCUGGUUGGUUUUCACAGCA